UACGUAGGGUGCGAGCGUUAAUCGGAAUUACUGGGCGUAAAGUGUGCGCAGGCGGCCGCGCAAGUCGCGUGUGAAAGCCCCGAGCUUAACUUGGGAAUUGCGCUCGAAACUACGUGGCUGGAGUGUGGCAGAGGAAGGUGGAAUUCCACGUGUAGCGGUGAAAUGCGUAGAGAUGUGGAGGAACACCAAUGGCGAAGGCAGCCUUCUGGGCCAACACUGACGCUCAUGCACGAAAGCGUGGGGAGCAAACAGG
rnacentral:rRNA from 1 species